UUGUAGGAGCUCGGAUGAAAUCUGCUUGCAAUAGAAGUUCGGGGUAGAGACCCAGUUCUUGUAGGAGCUCGGAUGAAAUUCAGAAGGCAGUCGACCAUCGUAGAAACUUGGAUGGAGUUUGGUUACUAUAGAAGUCCCACUAUUGGAGAAUCUUGGAUAUUGACGAAGUUCGAAAGAAGUUUGGAGUAAAGUUGCUCGUGGCAGGAGGAAGUCUGGAAGAGAUUCAGAGGGUAGCCAAUCACUGUAGAAAGUCGGCUGAUAAUGAAGCCUAGAGAGUAUUUGGAGCAGUCCGGUAGAUGAAUGGGGGAGCUCAUUAUUGGAGAAGUUCGGAUGGUAUUAUGGAAGCUCGGACGAUUGAGGGAGUUCAGAAAGAUGCCACACAAAGUCGAAAGCCGG
rnacentral:lncRNA from 1 species